CUGAGCAUCUGCACAGGGAGAGGGCUGACCACUUUUCCCGGCACCUUUGGAGGUUUUGCUGAACUGAUGAUAUAGUUGGGUGUGGAGGAGCCGCGGAAAGGACCCGCGCAGCCGCAGAAGGGUUUGCAGUGGCGCCUGCCCAUCGCUGGGGGCAGCAGAGGAGACGCCGGGCUCGCCCCGCCCCUAAGGGGUCAGGGGUCACGGGAUAGUGUAGGAUCUGCUGCCUGUCGCGGUUACUCAGCUCUGGGCCGAUGGCGCCAGCGCAGCGCUGCCAUCUGUGCCGUCAGACCUUCUUCUGUGGCCGCGGACAUGUCUACAGUCGCAAGCACCAACGGCAGCUGAAGGUGGCUUUGGAUCGGCUCCUGCCACAGGUGGAGGCUGCCCGUAAGGCUGUCCGCACAGCUCAGGUGGAGCGUUACGUGCCCGAGCACGAGCGGUGCUGCUGGUGCCUGUGCUGCGGCUGUGAGGUGCGGAAACACCUGAGCCAUGGAAACCUGACCGUGCUGCACGGGGGGCUGCUGGAGCAUUUAGCCAGCCUAGAGCACAAGAAAGCAACCAACAGAUUCUGGUGGGAGAACAAGGCUGAGGUCCAGAUGAAAGAGAAGUUUCUCAUCUCUCCUCAAGAUUAUGCACGAUUCAAGAAAUCCAUGGUGAAAGGUUUGGAUUCUUAUGAGGAAAAAGAGGAUGAAGUGAUCAAAGAGAUGGCAGCUCAGAUCCGUGAGGUGGAGCAGAGUCGGCAGGAGGUGGUUCGGUCUGUCUUAGAGCCUCAGGCAGUGCCAGACCCAGAAGAGGGCUCUUCGGCACCUGGAAGUUGGAAAGGAACAAACAGCCAAAUAGUCUCCACCUCACAGCAGCCCUCAUACUUGGACCUGCCAUCUGCCCCAGAGCUUGACUGGAUGGACACAGGACCGCUGACAUUCAUUGGCCAUCAGGUACAAUGGCUAAGCCAGGAAAGAGCCAGUGCCCCCUCAGUUCCCAGGACACCCAUUUCUUACAGGUUUUCUACCUAUUCUGACCAUUCCUGUUGUCUCUGCAGGCUUUUCUCUUGCUGCACUGUUCCAUACUGUGCUCACAGGCCUCUUUUCUCACUCUCCAACACCUGUUACCCCCACUGCCACUUAGAAGAGUGCCAACUCCUAUAUUUCAUCCUCUGCAGAACCCCCAAUUCCAGCUCAAUACAUUUAUUAGAUAUCCUACAGGUACCUGAAACUAACCCCCUCCCUGUAUUUCCAGCAACUGUAGAUGCCGAUACUUAUACCCUCCAUCACCUACAUCCAAUCAAGUCUAGGUCUAUUUUACCUCCUGAAUACAAGUUGGCCUCUAGUCUACCUUAGAACAAUUCCUACUCCCCCCUGCAGUCCUGUCCCAAACACAAGAAUUCCAUCAUUACCUGCUCUCUCAUCUUCUACACUCCAGCCGUACUAUGCUUCUCACUUUUACACAUGUAGUUGCCAUUGCCAUAAUACUGCUUUCCUUCAUUCAUCACCUAGUUAACGCUCACCUUCCUUCAGCUCUUACCUCAAAUGUCAUUUUCAUGGAAGGCUUAUUUGAGGUCACCUGUGUUAUAAACGGAUGUAAUGCCAGGUAAAAAGCUGUGGAUGUAAUUUAUACUUUUCUCCUCCAAUGAUAUGUAUGCUGUGAGGAAAGGGUUUUGUUUACCUGGCACAUGUAGACAUAUCUCCACCAUGAAGACCAUCUUUUGAGGACAGAAUUUUCAAUGAUUUACUGUGCUCUUAAGAUUUGACAUCUACCUCCUCUAAGUUUGUCCUUUCUCUAGCUAGGAGUAUCCUAUCAUCUCUUGGCUUUCUUAUCUAGGAUUUUCCUUUCCCCCCCCCAUUUCUAACUACAGGAUACACCAGGAGCUGGUAACAUCCACUCAGGCGCCACACCUCCCUGGAUGGUUCAAGAUGAGGAAUACAGCUCUGGGAAUCAACAAAUAGGACCUUCCUAU